rnacentral:rRNA from 1 species
ACGAAGGGGGGCUAGCGUUGCUCGGAAUGACUGGGCGUAAAGGGCGCGUAGGCGGCGAUCACCGUCAGAUGUGAAAUUCCUGGGCUUAACCUGGGGGCUGCAUUUGAUACGUGGUCGCUGGAGUGCGGAAGAGGGUCGUGGAAUUCCCAGUGUAGAGGUGAAAUUCGUAGAUAUUGGGAAGAACACCGGUGGCGAAGGCGGCGACCUGGUCCGUGACUGACACUGAGAGACGAAAGCUAGGGGAGCAAAUGGGA